rnacentral:misc_RNA from 1 species
GCGGGCAUUUUACCAAAUUUGUGUGUGAAAAAAAGAAAAAACUUUUCUGCGUAUCGGGGAAACAAUUUCCCAAGCCAUGGUGAAAAUAGUCACGUAGGCAAAGAGAAGAACAAUACCAACAUUGAAAAUAGCGGUAUUCUAUACCGACACUGAAAAAUCAGCAAAGAAUACCGCUAUUUUCAGUGUCAGUAUUAUACUUCUCUUCGUCUAACAUGGC